rnacentral:rRNA from 1 species
GUUGUAUGGUUAAGUGACUAAGCGUACACGGUGGAUGCCUUGGCAGUCAGAGGCGAUGAAGGACGUAGUAACUUGCGAUAAGCGUAGAUUAGGCAGUAACAGCCACUUGAGUCUACGAUUUCCGAAUGGGGAAACCCACGUGCAUAAGCACGUAUCCUUACCUGAAUACAUAGGGUAAGGAGGCAAACCGGGGGAACUGAAACAUCUAAGUACCCCGAGGAGAAGAAAUCAACAGAGAUUCCGAAAGUAGCGGCGAGCGAAAUUGGACUAGCCCUUAAGCUUUUAAUGAUGCAGGUGAAGCCUCUGGAAAGUGGCGCAAUAAAGGGUGAUAGCCCCGUAACUGUUCCAUCAUUAUAAGUGAAAUCGAGUAAGGCGGGACACGUGUUAUCCUGUCUGAACAUGGGGGGACCAUCCUCCAAGGCUAAAUACUACUGACUGACCGAUAGUGAACCAGUACCGUGAGGGAAAGGCGAAAAGAACCCCUGUGAGGGGAGUGAAAUAGAACCUGAAACCGUGUACGUACAAGCAGUAGGAGCACCUUCGUGGUGUGACUGCGUACCUUUUGUAUAAUGGGUCAGCGACUUAUAUUCAGUGGCAAGGUUAACCGAAUAGGGGAGCCGUAGGGAAACCGAGUCUUAACUGGGCGCUUCAGUCUCUGGAUAUAGACCCGAAACCGGGUGAUCUAGCCAUGGGCAGGUUGAAGGUUGAGUAACAUCAACUGGAGGACCGAACCGACUAAUGUUGAAAAAUUAGCGGAUGACUUGUGGCUAGGGGUGAAAGGCCAAUCAAACUCGGAGAUAGCUGGUUCUCCCCGAAAGCUAUUUAGGUAGCGCCUCGGACGAAUACUACUGGGGGUAGAGCACUGUUAAGGCUAGGGGGUCAUCCCGACUUACCAACCCUUUGCAAACUCCGAAUACCAGUAAGUACUAUCCGGGAGACACACGGCGGGUGCUAACGUCCGUCGUGGAGAGGGAAACAACCCAGACCGCCAGCUAAGGUCCCAAAUUACUACUAAGUGGGAAACGAUGUGGGAAGGCUCAGACAGCCAGGAUGUUGGCUUAGAAGCAGCCAUCAUUUAAAGAAAGCGUAAUAGCUCACUGGUCGAGUCGGCCUGCGCGGAAGAUGUAACGGGGCUAAGUAGUAAACCGAAGCUGCGGCAAUACAGUUUACUGUAUUGGGUAGGGGAGCGUUCUGUAAGCCGUUGAAGGUGUGUUGUAAAGCAUGCUGGAGGUAUCAGAAGUGCGAAUGCUGACAUGAGUAACGAUAAGGGGGGUGAAAAACCUCCCCGCCGGAAGACCAAGGGUUCCUGUCCAACGUUAAUCGGGGCAGGGUAAGUCGACCCCUAAGGCGAGGCUGAAAAGCGUAGUCGAUGGGAAACGGGUUAAUAUUCCCGUACUGCUUAUAAUUGCGAUGGGGGGACGGAGAAGGCUAGGUGGGCCAGGCGACGGUUGUCCUGGUUCAAGUGCGUAGGCUAAGAGACUAGGUAAAUCCGGUUUCUUGUUAGGCUGAGACACGACGUCGAGCUGCUACGGCAGUGAAGUCAUUGAUGCCCUGCUUCCAGGAAAAGCCUCUAAGCUUCAGAUUAUAAGCAAUCGUACCCCAAACCGACACAGGUGGUCGGGUAGAGAAUACCAAGGCGCUUGAGAGAACUCGGGUGAAGGAACUAGGCAAAAUGGUACCGUAACUUCGGGAGAAGGUACGCUCUUAUUGGUGAAGUCCCUCGCGGAUGGAGCUGACGAGAGUCGCAGAUACCAGGUGGCUGCAACUGUUUAUUAAAAACACAGCACUGUGCAAAAUCGCAAGAUGACGUAUACGGUGUGACGCCUGCCCGGUGCCGGAAGGUUAAUUGAUGGGGUUAGACUUAGGUCGAAGCUCUUGAUCGAAGCCCCGGUAAACGGCGGCCGUAACUAUAACGGUCCUAAGGUAGCGAAAUUCCUUGUCGGGUAAGUUCCGACCUGCACGAAUGGCGUAAUGAUGGCCACGCUGUCUCCACCCGAGACUCAGUGAAAUUGAAAUCGCUGUGAAGAUGCAGUGUACCCGCGGCUAGACGGAAAGACCCCGUGAACCUUUACUACAGCUUGGCACUGAACAUUGAACCUACAUGUGUAGGAUAGGUGGGAGACUUAGAAGCGCAGUCGCUAGAUUGCGUGGAGUCGACCUUGAAAUACCACCCUUGUCGUUUUGAUGUUCUAACGUAGGCCCCUCAUCGGGG